GGGAGUUUUGCUAUUUGAAAAGGGAGUUUUGCUAUUUGAAAAGGGAGUUUUGCUAUUUGAAAAGAGAGUUUUGCUAUUUGAAAAGGGAGUUCUGCUAUUUGAAAAGGGAGUUUUGUUAUUUGAAAACGGAGUUUUGCUAUUUAAAACAGGAGGUUUGCUAUUUGAAACGGGAGUUUUGCUAUUUGAAACGGGAGUUUUGCUAUUUGAAAAGGGUGUUUUGCUAUUUGAAAAGGGUGUUUUGCUAUUUGAAAAGGGAGUUUUGCUAUUUGAAAAGGGAGUUUUGCUAUUUGAAAAGGGAGUUUUGCUAUUUGAAAGG